rnacentral:misc_RNA from 1 species
AACUGAUACUACCUGCGGGAACCUGCGGAAGGAUCAUUACAGAGUUGCAAAACUCCAAACCAUUGUGAACUUACCUUUGCCGUUGCUUCGGCGGGCGGCCCGGGUCCCGACCCGGCGCCCCCCGGCCCCGUCAGGGGCGCCCGCCGGAGGUAAACCAAACUCUUGAAUUGUAUGGCCUCUCUGAGUCUUCUGUACUGAAUAAGUCAAAACUUUCAGCAAUGGAUCUCUAGAUCGGAAGAG